GAGCGACCGGGGGUCCGGAGCGAGCGGGGGUCAGGAGCGAGCGGGGACCCGAAGCGAGCGGGGGUCAGGAGCGAGCGGGGAUCUGCUUAAGAAGUGUCACUCCGUUGGUGAUGAUGAAGGUGGCCCGGCUGAGCUUCGUGGAGGCGUGGAUGAGAGCCUCCACAGCCACCAGCUGGUCCGCCUCGCGCUCUGAGCCACACAGAGCCACCAUCAUCUCCAUCACACCUUUCAUGCCCAGCAGCUGAUUGCCCAGGUCAAAGGGCCCCUGCAAGAUGCCGGACACCGUCUGGAUGGCAUUUACAUUCUUGUCCAUGUCCUGGGGGUCAAAUUUGCUCCUAAAACAGACGACAAGGAUGGUCAAGAGAAUCAACCCAAGGAGGUAGAAAAGAUAGCAUGAAGGAAAGAUUUAAAUUUGCCUUUUUUCAGGAGCUGUGUGGCACUGGGCCAGUCACUGAACCUGAGUCUCAGCUCUUUGGUCUAUAAAUAGAGAGCAUAGUGCUGUUAUUUCUUAAGGACACAUGACAUCAUGGCUGCUCACAGGGUAUGUCCCCCUGACAGCACAUUGACCUUCAGGAUUGACCUUCAGGAAGUUGAAUUAUUGGACAGAGAAGGAAGCAGCAUUGAGGAAUGCAUUGGCCUGCAUUGCAGUCACCCCGAAGUUUCUCCCUUGAUGAGCUGGGGUACCCUAGAGUGUCAUUUCAAAUUGGGAUGAGUGACAAGUCAUGAGAUGCUAGUUACAGCCCCCUCCGCUGAGGCAAGGACCAAUAGGAGACCUCGGCUGAUGGCUAUCAGCCAACAACAGCUCCAGCCUUCCCUGCUUGGGGGGACAGUGCAUAACCAUAGUCACAGAUAGGCCCAGUGAGGCACCUGAGGAGCUGCCCUCUAUCACGUGACGGUACGGAACUCAAUUUGGAAUCUCAUGAGAUGAAACAGUGAAGGGGAAACAACCAAAAGUGGAGGUGGAAUGGCCCAAGGACAUAAAUGGGGACCAGGGUACACACAGAGCCCCAGAGUUAAAAGCAGUGGAUAUGUCCUACAGACACCUGUGCAGGCUGAAUAGCCGCCUGACAACUGCCUUAUCCCAGUAGUCCCAGCUGACCAACAAGCUGUCUUCCCCUGAGCUCAGGGACAUUGACCAAUCAGGCCUGGACACUCUACAAGCAUGAGUUCCUCACGUGCAUGGAGGACCUACAUGGGCGGCAACCCUGUAUCUGCCAGCCCGUUCAUGCGUUUAAAGAGCCACCACCUGACCAAGGCUUGCUCAGGGCUUCAUCUCCCACCUAGCUGGAGCUUGCAUCUCAAUAAAAAGCUUUUCCUCG
ensembl:processed_transcript Unc45bos unc-45 myosin chaperone B, opposite strand